AAGUGUUGUUAAGGAACUCGGCAAAAUGACUCCGUAACUUCGGGAGAAGGAGUGCCACAGAGAUGUGGCCGCAGAGAAAUGGCCCAAGCAACUGUUUAGCAAAAACACAGGCCUAUGCAAAACCGAAAGGUGAGGUAUAUGGGCUGACGCCUGCCCGGUGCUGGAAGGUUAAGAGGAGAGCUUAGCGCAAGCGAAGGUUUGAAUUUAAGCCCCAGUAAACGGCGGCCGUAACAAUAACGGUCCUAAGGUAGCGAAAUUCCUUGUCGGGUAAGUUCCGACCCGCACGAAAGGCGUAAUGAUUUGGGCACUGUCUCGACAACACACCCGGUGAAAUUGAAAUACCAGUGAAGAUGCUGGUUACCUGCGCCAGGACGGAAAGACCCCAUGGAGCUUUACUCCAGUUUGAUACUGGGAUUCGGUACUGUCUGUACAGGAUAGGUGGGAAGCUAGGAAAUGAUGACGCCAGUUGUCAUGGGGCUGACCUUGGGAUACCACCCUUACAGUACUGGGUUUCUAACCUGCAGCCGUGACCCGGCUGGGGGACAAUGUCUGACGGGGAGUUUGACUGGGGCGGUCGCCACCGAAAGGGUAUCGGAGGCGCUCAAAGGUUCCCUCAGAAUGGUCGGAAACCAUUCGAAGAGUGCAAAGGCAGAAGGGAGCUUGACUGCGACACCGACGGGUGGAGCAGGUACGAAAGUAGGACUUAGUGAUCCGGUGGUAUAACGUGGGAUUGCCAUCGCUCAACGGAUAAAAGCUACCCUGGGAUAACAGGCUUAUCACUCCCAAGAGUUCACAUCGACGGAGUGGUUUGGCACCUCGAUGUCGGCUCAUCGCAUCCUGGAGCUGUAGCAGGUUCCAAGGGUUGGGCUGUUCGCCCAUUAAAGCGGUACGCGAGCUGGGUUCAGAACGUCGUGAGACAGUUCGGUCCCUAUCCGGCGUGGGCGUAGGAUAUUUGAGAGGAGCUGUCCUUAGUACGAGAGGACCGGGAUGGACGGACCGCUGGUGUAUCUGUUGUUGACCAACAGCAUGGCAGAGUAGCCAAGUCCGGCAGGGAUAAACGCUGAAGGCAUCUAAGCGUGAAGCCCCCCUCAAGAUUAGAUAUCCCAUUCUUUAAAGAAAUAAGACCCCUUGAAGACUACGAGGUUGAUAGGUCUGAGGUGUAAGUGCGGUAACGCAUUCAGCUGACAGAUACUAAUAGGUCGAAGACUUAUCAAC
rnacentral:rRNA from 1 species